AUCCUUUGCGGGCGGGAAGGCAUGUACGCGUGCGCCAUGUUCCUCUGCCCAUGUCCAUGCCGUGCGGUCAGCACUGUCCCCGUCUCCAAUCAGAUGUGCGGGGGGGAGCGAAAGAACCUGGCAGAUGUUCACUCCGCGAUCAAUUGCCCAGAUGGGGCGGUCAGUACCACCCUUUUCGGAUUUCUGCACGAUCUGCGUCAGCCAACUUUUUGCCGGUGUCCGCCCCCCGCCGAUACAGACGAUCUCUUGUGAUGACGGGCAGGGCAGUACAGCGUAAAGCGUUGGAAGAAUGAGAUAGUGUUUGUAUUCAUGCAUGACAACAGUUCCUUUGUCGAACUUUAUGCUAGAAUAUGAUUAUAUCACACGUUUUUUUCGUCGAAAAGCGAAAAAGGCAAAAAAGGGGUUGACGAACGAAAGGGGACGUGUUAUAUUAUGACAGUCGCGCCGAUGCGGGCGGCGGGCACGUGGGAG
rnacentral:rRNA from 1 species